AUUUUAUUUGAACAUUUUCUCUUGCCAAAGACUAAGCAAGUAGAAGUAAGUGAAAUUCCUCCAUUAUGUGUAUGCGCAACUUCAUCAUAGCCUGAACCUCGCCAAAAAUAUAACUUACAUCAGACUCCCACUAAAGUGCGCACAAGCAAAGCAAAGUGCGCACAUGAAUGAACAUGAUUUUUUUUAAAGAUCAUAAUAAAAAUCGGAUCAGUCUCAUUGCCCCCACCAAUUUCAUCACUUACUUUUCCACAGAAAAAUACCAUCCUCAUAUCACGUCCAGAGUAGCAAAAGUGUCCCGAGAACCCGAGAAUGCGAAGUCCUGCCGCCCCCGAAGCGGCUCUGACCUACUGGAAAGCUGCAUCCCGCCAGCCUCUCCAUCCACCUGCUCCUAACUUACGCACGGCGCCGGCAUUCAGUCGCCCUAAUCAGAGCUGCUGAUCGCGCUACAUCUCUCAGGCCAUUGUUACCUCCGAGAAAUAGUCCACGUUUGUAAAAGGAAAGACUAAAACAAAAACAAAAAAACACAAGAGAAUGAAAAAUAAAAUAAGGUGGCGUGCGCUCGCGAGUGUGUGUCCAACAGGAAAGUCUUGGCGAGGAGUCAGACAGAGCGGCAGGACGCGCGCAGCACCGAAUGGAGAGAGAGAGUGUUUCUGACAGAGAGAGAGAGAGAGAGAGAGACGGGUCGAGUGAUAGAUCAGCAGCAACGUGUCACUGUGCGUCGGUGUCCUACAAUUUGCUGAUUUCCAUGCACAUGAGCUGGCUCUGCUUCUGCUGUCCUUUUGAAAAACCCUGCACAACUCCCCAGCUGCACGCUGGCUUCUGUAUCAGUGUGUCUAAGAGGUAUAUUUAAAAAAAAAAGGAAAAUUAAUAAACAUUUGGAAUAUGGAAAAUUGCACAUACCAUUUUGCAGGGAGCUUUUGUUCUCCAGCUGUGUUUCCUUUUGUGAUGUGAUGUACUCAAGGAAAAGGAAAAAUCAACCCCAAGCUGCUCAGGAAAAAAGGAGGUAAUCACGCUGUCCCUCCAAAUUCAUCAGGUUCAAAUGAAGUGAUCUCAAGAGCUUCACUGUCCCUUUCAGGCGCCCAUCACAGGCACCGGUGCACCCCUCUUGUCAGCCAACAGCGAUGGCACUCGGAUUUGAGCACUGA
ensembl:lncRNA